rnacentral:lncRNA from 1 species
CAAGAUCAUCAUUGUCGCUGCGUCCAUAUUGAUCCUGGCCCUCCUCGUGUCCUGCGGUAACUACAACACUGCAUUACAUGUUUCUAACAAUCGUUACAUAUUCUGAAAAAGAAUUAUGUUAUCUUUUUAGGGCAGAUUAUGUUAUUUAUAACAUGAAUAAAACACCUUUGAUAUGUUAGCAGACGCGGCUGAUGACAGCUGUAAGUGCGAGGCGUGCGUCAUGGCACCGGAUCCGCACUGCAACAGCAUCGAAGCGUGCGUUAAGCAAUGCAGAGAUUCCGGCUACACAAUUGGAUACUGUUUAGUCGUUGAACAACUGAUCUGCAUCUGUGGGGUCUGCACGAGUCAAGAGCCCUUCAAGCAUCCUAGAAAGUCUCUUUCACUAGGUCCCUAAAAAAGUUUUGCGGACACGUGAAAAAGCAUCCUUGUAUGAAAAGUUCAGAACUGUGUAUGACGGUAGUUCCUUCCAUUUUUUCAAUGUUACCUCGGCAGCGGCAAAGGAUGAUAGCGGAUGACGUUUCAGCGUGGCACAAGAUUCUGCUGUAUUGAAAUUCUAGUUUUACUUCUUGCGGAGUCUUUGGUGCAAUAUUGCAAGACAUUUAUGUUUGUUUCUUGUAGUGAUGACAUAUGUACCUUGUAAUCCAUUUGUCUAAUAAAAUAUAUGUGGUUAAUUAAAAAAAAGGUCUCUUUCAC